rnacentral:lncRNA from 1 species
GCCCCAUAAGUAGCAUUCCUGUCACGCUGUGGGGCUCUGUUCUGCCCCAUAAGUGAGUGAUGCUCUGCCCCACAAGUGACGCAGUGCCCCACAAGUUUGGCUCUGCCCCACAAGUGAGUUCCGUCUCCCCGCAGCAUCCAGAACAUGCGGAUGAUCGAUGGCAAACCCGAGUACCGCAACGGGCUGGUGAGCACCCAGUGACCUUUGACCCCUGACCCCGUGACCUUUGACCCCGACCCGUGCCCUUUGACCCCGACCCCGUGACCCCCAUCCUUUUACCUCUGUGACUCUUGGCCCCGACCCCUUGUUCUUUGCACCCUGACCCCUAGACUCCUUUGACCCCUGACCCCUUGACCCCGUGACCCUUGACCCUGACCCCAGCCCCCUUGACCCUCGACCCCUGACCCCUUGACCCCAUGACCCUAUGUCCCCCUCAUCCCGUGACCCCUGACCCCUUGGCUCCCUUUCCACUGGAACCCUGUGACCCCAUUGACCCCAUGACCUCUGACCCCAGUGACCCCGUGACCUUUUGACCCCUGACCCACCAACCCCAUGAACCCUGACCCCAGCCCCCAGACCCUUUAACCUGUGCCCCAUUGACCCCGCGACCCUCAGACCCCUUUACCCCGUGACCUCUGACCUGUGACCCUGUGACCUUUUGACCCCUGGCCUUCUGACCCUGUGACCUUUUAACCCUAUGAACCUUGACCCCUGACCCCUUUAACCCUUGACAUUUUAACCCCAUUGACCCCGGAACCCCCAGACCCUUCCACCCCCGUGACCUCUGACCCUAGUGAUCCCAUGACCUUUUGACUCCUGACCUCAGUGACCCUCUGACCCUGUGACCCUGUGACCUUUUGACCCCUGAUUCAUCGGCCCCAUGAACCUUGACCCCCGACCCCCUUCCCCUUUAACCCGUGCCCCGUUGACCCCGCGACCCUCUGACCUGUGACCCCGCGACCUUUGACCCCGCGACCUUCUGACCCCAUGACCUUUUAACCCUACGAACCUCAACCCCUGACCCCAUCCUUUUAAACCCGUGCCCCAUUGACCCCGCGACCCUCAGCCCCCUGGA